rnacentral:rRNA from 1 species
UAGAGUUUGAUCAUGGCUCAGGAUGAACGCUGGCGGCGUGCUUAACACAUGCAAGUCGAACGGUGAAAGCGGAGCUUGCUCUGCUGGAUCAGUGGCGAACGGGUGAGUAACACGUGAGCAACCUGCCCCGGACUCUGGGAUAACAGCUGGAAACAGCUGCUAAUACCGGAUACGAGCUGCGAAGGCAUCUUCAGCAGCUGGAAAGAAUUUCGGUCCGGGAUGGGCUCACGGCCUAUCAGCUAGUUGGUGAGGUAACGGCUCACCAAGGCGUCGACGGGUAGCCGGCCUGAGAGGGUGACCGGCCACACUGGGACUGAGACACGGCCCAGACUCCUACGGGAGGCAGCAGUGGGGAAUAUUGCACAAUGGGCGCAAGCCUGAUGCAGCAACGCCGCGUGAGGGACGACGGCCUUCGGGUUGUAAACCUCUUUUAGCAGGGAAGAAGCGAAAGUGACGGUACCUGCAGAAAAAGCGCCGGCUAACUACGUGCCAGCAGCCGCGGUAAUACGUAGGGCGCAAGCGUUAUCCGGAAUUAUUGGGCGUAAAGAGCUCGUAGCGGUCUGUCGCGUCUGCUGUGAAACCCGAGGCUCAACCUCGGGCCUGCAGUGGGUACGGGCAGACUAGAGUGCGGUAGGGGAGAUUGGAAUUCCUGGUGUAGCGGUGAAUGCGCAGAUAUCAGGAGGACACCGAUGGCGAAGGCAGAUCUCUGGGCCGUACUGACGCUGAGAGCGAAGGUGGGGAGCAACAGGCUUAGAUACCUGGUAGUCCCCCCGUAACGUUGGGAACUAGUUGGGGGACCAUUCA